rnacentral:rRNA from 1 species
AAUCUGGGGCCCUCGGCCUCCGAGUUGUAAUUUGGAGAGGCAUCUUCGGGGGGGAGCGCCGGCCAAUGUUCCUUGGAACAGGACGUCGCAGAGGGUGAGAAUCCCGUGCCAGGCCGGCUGCCUCCUCCCGGGUGAAGGGCCUUCGACGAGUCGAGUUGUUUGGGAAUGCAGCUCCAAGUGGGUGGUAAAUUUCAUCUAAAGCUAAAUACCGGCGGGAGACCGAUAGCGCACAAGUAGAGUGAUCGAAAGAUGAAAAGCACUUUGAAAAUAGAGUCAAAAAGUACGUGAAAUUGUUGAAAGGGAAGCGCUUGAGACCAGACUCAGACCCGAGCAAACACCGUGCCCCUCGGGGCCGUGCAAUUGCCCGGGGCUGGGCCAGCAUCAGUCGGCGUGGCGGGACAAAGGCGUGGGGAAUGUGGCUCCCCUCGGGGAGUGUUAUUAGGCCCACGCUGAAUGCCGCCGACGUCGACUGAGGACCGCGCCUCGGCUAGGAUGCUGGCUUAAUGGCCUUCAGCGACCCGUCUUGAAACACGGACCAAGGAGUCUAACAUCUAUGCGAGUGUUUGGGCGUCAAACCCUUGCGCGUAAUGAAAGUGAGCGGAGGUGGGAACCCCCUCGCGGGGCGCACCAUCGACCGAUCCUGAUGUCUUCGGAUGGAUUUUGAGUAG